UAGGGAAUCUUCGGCAAUGGACGAAAGUCUGGCCGAGCAACGCCGCGUGAGUGAAGAAGGUUUUCGGAUCGUAAAACUCUGUUGGUAGAGAAGAACGUUGGUGAGAGUGGAAAGCUCAUCAAGUGACGGUAACUACCCAGAAAGGGACGGCUAACUACGUGCUAG
rnacentral:rRNA from 1 species